CUGCAGCUCAAGUGGUGAUCAUUAUUAUUGGGCCUAAAACGUCCGUAGCCUGUUUAGUAAAUGCCUGGGUAAAUCGUGUAGCUUAACUAUACGAAUUCCGGGUAGACUGCUAAACUUGAGACCGGGAGAGGCUAGAGGUACUCCUGGGGUAGAGGUGAAAUUCUGUAAUCCUGGGGGGACCACCAGUGGCGAAGGCGUCUAGCUAGAACGGGUCUGACGGUGAGGAACGAAGCCCUGGGGCGCAAACCGGAUUAGAUACCCGCGUAGUCC
rnacentral:rRNA from 1 species